CAUAUUUAUAAGCGGAGGAAAAGAAACUAACAAGGGAUUCCCCUAGUAACUGCGAGUGAAGCGGGAAAAAGCUCAAAUUUUAAAUCUGGCAGUCUCUUUUGGCUGUCCGAGUUGUAAUCUAGAGAAGUGUUAUCCGCGCUGGACCGUGUACAAGUCUCCUGGAAUGGAGCAUCAUAGAGGGUGAGAAUCCCGUCUUUGACAUGGACUGCCAGGGCUUUUGUGAUGCGCUCUCAAAGAGUCGAGUUGUUUGGGAAUGCAGCUCAAAAUGGGUGGUAAAUUCCAUCUAAAGCUAAAUAUUGGCGAGAGACCGAUAGCGAACAAGUACCGUGAGGGAAAGAUGAAAAGAACUUUGGAAAGAGAGUUAAACCGUACGUGAAAUUGCUGAAAGGGAAACGCUUGAAGUCCAGUCGCGUUGUCCAGGGAUCAACCCUUGCUUUUGCUUGGUGUACUUCCUGUUUGACGGGUCAGCAUCAAUUUUGACUAUUGGAUAAAUGUCAGGUGGAAUGUGGCAUCUUAGGAUGUGUUUAUAGCCCUUGAUAGUAUACAAUAGUUGGGAUUGAGGAACUCAGCACGCCGUCAAGGCCGGGUUUGUGAAAACCACGUACGUGCUUAGGAUGCUGGCAUAAUGGCUUUAAUCGACCCGUCUUGAAACACGGACCAAGGAGUCUAACAUGCAUGCGAGUGUUUGGGUGGAAAACCCUUGCGCGUAAUGAAAGUGAAAGUUGAGAUCCCUGUCGUAGGGAGCAUCGACGCCCAGACCAGACCUUUUUGUGACGGUUCUGCGGUAGAGCAUGUAUGUUGGGACCCGAAAGAUGGUGAACUAUGCCUGAAUAGGGUGAAGCCAGAGGAAACUCUGGUGGAAGCUCGUAGCGAUUCUGACGUGCAAAUCGAUCGUCAAAUUGGUAUAGGGGCGAAAGACUAAUCGAAUCAUCUAGUAGCUGG
rnacentral:rRNA from 1 species